GACGAACGCUGGCGGCGUGCCUAACACAUGCAAGUCGAACGAAGCACUGUGGAUGGAGACUUCGGUCAACUGAAACUUUGACUUAGUGGCGGACGGGUGAGUAACGCGUGAGGAACCUGCCUUUCAGUGGGGGACAACAGUUGGAAACGACUGCUAAUACCGCAUAAUGUUGUCGGAUGGCAUCAUCUGACAACCAAAGCUUUAUGUGCUGAAAGAUGGCCUCGCGUCUGAUUAGAUAGUUGGUGAGGUAACGGCUCACCAAGGCGACGAUCGGUAGCCGGACUGAGAGGUUGAACGGCCACAUUGGGGCUGAGACACGGCCCAGACUCCUACGGGAGGCAGCAGUGGGGGGAUAUUGCGCAAUGGGGGAAACCCUGACGCAGCAACGCCGCGUGAAGGAAGACGGUUUUCGGAUUGUAAACUUCUUUUAUAAGGGACGAAAUUGACGGUACCUUAUGAAUAAGCUCCGGCUAACUACGUG
rnacentral:rRNA from 1 species